AACGAACGCUGGCGGCAGGCUUAACACAUGCAAGUCGAGCGCCCCGCAAGGGGAGCGGCAGACGGGUGAGUAACGCGUGGGAAUCUACCCAUCUCUACGGAAUAACGCAUGGAAACGUGUGCUAAUACCGUAUACGUCCUUCGGGAGAAAGAUUUAUCGGAGAUGGAUGAGCCCGCGUUGGAUUAGCUAGUUGGUGGGGUAAAGGCCUACCAAGGCGACGAUCCAUAGCUGGUCUGAGAGGAUGAUCAGCCACACUGGGACUGAGACACGGCCCCGCCCCCUACGGGGGGGAGCAGUGGGGAAUAUUGGACAAUGGGCGCAAGCCUGAUCCAGCCAUGCCGCGUGAGUUAUGAAGGCCCUAGGGUUGUAAAGCUCUUUCACCGGUGAAGAUAAUGACGGUAACCGGAGAAGAAGCCCCGGCUAACUUCGUGCCAGCCGCCGCAGUAAUAC
rnacentral:rRNA from 1 species